rnacentral:lncRNA from 1 species
CGAACACUAGACAGAUGGUCCAUCAAGAAAAACCUGUUUUGGUUCACUUGUUUCAGGACUUGUGGUCAGCAUUAACAAUUGGCUCAAAGCAUCUGCAUAUUAUAUGGAUUAUCAUGGUCAAUAGCUUAUGGUGUAGGUAUAUCUAUAUAGUAUUAUGGCACAAUGCUCAAUUCAGUUUAUUGUUGUCAGUUCCUUAGACUCUUCUAUGAAAGGUAGCUGCUGGUCUGUGCUUUGUAAAAGCCUUUCAACCUUCAAUGUCCAACAUCAAAUCCUCAACACAUGGUAAUAGAUACAUAUUCACUGUGCAAAAACAUUCACUGUAACUUAUUCUCCACAAAUUUGCAGCUCCAUCUAUAGCUUUAAAAUGGGAACAACGGGUGCAGCCCAAACUGGGUAUAUGACAGACUGAAUGAUUCCAUCAUUUUCUAGUCUUUUCAGCAUCCACCUUGCUUCUCAGAGAAUAAGGUACAGUCCUGGCUUUGUAAAACUCAGGAACUGCAUUAGUUUCACUCUGUAGCAUUAUUGGACAGUUAACAUAUCCUUAUUCAUCAUCAAACAGGUUUGAAAUUUAUUUCUUCCUGAUGCUUUUGUUACACCCAUCAGGUUUACCAAAACUGUCAAUAACCACCAUUCACAAUAAAGAGAAGCAUGACAGUCAUGUCUACAUGUUCACACUGCACUUAAACCGCAUCCAGCACAGAGACUGCUCAGUGUCCUCUGUAACUUUGUGCUGCAAGUUGGUAGAACAUUCUUCUUACCCCAUGCAGUUGGUCUCGAAUAUAUCUUCGUUGAUCAAAGAGACUGAUGCAUCUGUGUCCAUUUAAAAUAAUACAUGUUUGAAUUUUAGUGUCAUAAUGCAUGGGUUCUUUCUGUGGUUUUGAUAUGUGUUAUGCAAAACAAUGUCAGUUAUGUUUUACUUUUCAAUCACGAACUUCUAUUCUUGUGAUUUAGAAUGACAAGAAGUUGCAUUUAGAGAGCUUGAAAGGGCCGUCAGCUCUCAUUUGCUACAACGAUAACAUUGGGAGUACUGCGCAGACCAGUGUUGGCUUUCGCAGUCCGUUUUGUGCUACUUAAUUUUCAGGAUCGCAUGUUUGGCUAGCGAAAUAACACCCUUACUCUAGUAGAACUUAGAACAGCACAUACUGUGACUGGCAGCGGUUGUUAUAGCAUGAACAAUAGUACUAGACAACUGUUUCUUCCGUAUUGCUGAAUCAGAAUAUCUACAAAUAAAACGAUCUCUGAGCUCCUACAAAAUUGUAUCGAGCUCACAAGCGGAUGUCAAUUUUUUAAAACUCAGCUACAAAAUCAUUUGCAUUUUCAUGUUCAGAUUGACUUCGAUUGUGAAAUUUGUAUCUUUCUGCAUCCACAAAAGGUUUGAAUGAUAUGUGUGCGUUACCAAUUUCAAUUCUUCGCGUGUUUUUGUGCAAGGUUUGUCAGGAGGGAACUAUGAUCGCAGCAGUGAAUAGUACUUGGCAUCCAUGACACGCGAAAACACGCUCUUCUUUCUCUCUACCACUAUGUCAUUUGCUUCCGAGUAACGUUAAGACUUUCUACAAAGCAGUGAAAGUCUUCCACAGAAAGAAUGAACUCGCAGAACGUUUCUUUUUGGGCCACGCUGAUCGCGCCAAAAGUAUGACGUCCGUGGACUCUCAAAGCGCAAUUACGCCGAAUUCCGACAAACCUCACCCUCCCCAGGAACAAGAAACCUGUGAACUAAAAAGAACUAUAAGUACAAAGAUCUAAUCCUAAAAGUUGACAGUGUAAAAUGUAGAAACAUGGGCACUGGAUUUUCAUUGCCAAUUCAAAGGAUUGAACCAGACACAGAUCAGAAUGGCCGCCCUUACUGCGUAGAGAGUACACGAUCAAGGGGCGUAAUCCAACAGAAGAAGUAAUAGUCGUAAUAGUACUACAUGUAGUAGGACUUCUUUUUUGCGAUCACUAGGACAAACUUAACCUCAGUCAGGGUGACAACGUGCAACACCGCGGGUAGCAAUUUUCAGCAUCAUGUUUGUAUGUAGAUACUGAUACAAGCUACGGAUUAUUCCAGAACUUUCCUGACGAAGAGUUCCAGACCAACAGGCGGCAUGUUCAUGUCCUCACUGAAAUAUUUCAUGCGUCCAGUGGGAAAGAUGUUAACGAGAUUUCAUUCAUUCAGAACUGGUCAAUAGUCUUAAAUAAGUAGCUAAAAAAAGGAAAAGUAUUGUGACAUGCUUGUAAAGACUUAAUUAUUUCAUACACCAAUAGAUUCGGGUACAAAACUGGCAAAUUUUCUAAGUUAGCAUUAGGAUAUUAUGCAAACAGUGUGAACUUUAAAAAAAAAAAAAAAAAAAAAAAAGACAGCUACAAUGUAUAUUUCAGAAUAAUCAGGGUUUUUUUCAGUGCAUGGUUAGAACACUGUGUCUGAAUUUAUAGGGGUGCACCGGUUCAAUACCCAUGAGGUGCAGGUGUCAGGAAAGAGUAGACCUGACUGGGAAGAGUGUUGACAAAGUGUAGCCAGAUGACUUGUGGGGAGCAGUGGAUGGAUGUUUCCUCUGAGAUCAGCAAAUAUACAUGUGUUUGAAUACAAAUCUAAACAAUUUUAUAGUUAUAAAAACAACUGAAUUGUCCAGAAAGUAGUGUAUUGUUACAACUGUAGCAUUGUAGUAUUGUGUGAAUAAAGUAAAAUGCAAAUAAUUAAAAAAAAUUAAUUUGAACUUCUAACUUGCACAACUGCUCUAUCUAAUCUAGUCAAAUUCUGUAAAACAAUUUUAUUCAUAUUGUUAUUAUGAUUUUAAAGACAAUGUGGACUUUCUUUAAUGAGAUUUUUAAAGUAGGAUUAUAGCUAUAUUGCAAAGCCAAAACUGACAAAUCAGAAAAUUUUAUCAGAAGGAAUUAGCUGAUCUUGCCAUACUAUUUUUCAGUGUUUAUUGAGAAACAUAUUUUAUUCAGGAAAUCAGUUGUUUGCAAUAAAUGUUUUGAUGAAAGUUUUAAUCUAAUUAUACUAUUUAUUGUCACUACCCGUUUGAACAUAAAGAUGGACAAUCAUUGGAUGAAAAUUGUUACACAACGAAGAUGAUAAAGACAUAUUUAUUAUUGGCAGUGUAUGUGAAGGGACGGAAGGUUGCAUUUCUUUUACAGAUGCAUAAGAUACUGCAUUUAAAUCACUGGAAAGCAAUGCUUUUGUGUUUAAUGUUGUUUUCUAUGACACCCCUUUGUCUCAAAGCGCCUUGCUAUUGCAACUUUCAAAGUCCACUCAAAAACAAAGGUAGAGCAAUCGAGAAUCAGUUGUCAAAGGUAGCCACCUGGUCAGCUCGAGUGUUUCCUGGAAUAUUAGUAUGACCAGAAAUCCAUAUAAAACUGACGCCAACAUGAUCUUUUUUGCUAGUUAUGCAUGUUGUUCAAAGACUUGAAUUUGAAUGUCUUCCUGCUUGUUUGCUAUGUGGACUGUAGAAUGUGUUUAUUCUGUAUGAACACGCUACUCUUUGGCGUGGAGUAGACAGUCUGGUAUAACUUACAUCAACUUAUUUUGACUUUACACCACCUACUGCGAAGCAUCUUGAGCUAGCCUGACAGGCAGACACAAAGAUGCUAUAUAAGCCAACUUUUACUUUACUAGAACUGUGGCAUGUAUAUGAGCAUUUGCAGCCUGGCUUACAGUUCAACUGGAUCAAGCAAGCUGGGAGCAAAUACAGACUACAUAUUUGUCAUCCUGCUAUAUGGAAUUCCAUAGAAGUUUGCACGUUUUGAUGCAUGCAUCUGUGGUUCUUAAUAUUGAGUGUUCAUAUUUUUUUGUAACUUUGAUAGUGGGAUAAAGCGCUCCAUAAAUUAACUUUAUUAUUAUCAUAAGAGAUGAUCGAGCCAUUGAGAACGGAGAGCAUGUAAUGCUGACAAGGAGUCCGAGAUUCUGUAAAAGUUUGUCUCGAGAGAUGGAUGUGAAUAUGCUGCAAAGCAAGCAGAAGAGCUUUCAGCUCUGCAGAGAAGGUGGAGUUGUGACCUAACAGUGCUGAGGAGGUGGGGGGGAAUCGGUGUUUUUACGCCAUGCCAGCAACUGAGGCUAUAUUACGGCAAGGCACCCAGCCCUGUAAACAGAUGCCACGUGCAGAGAAAGAACAGCGUGCCCGAGAUGAGAAAUGAACUCUGAGAAGCCAACCUUCACUGUAUUAGUGACAGACGCUAACCGUUGCGCCACCGGACCGCUAACUGUGCUGAGGAAGAGUUUAUAGGGACUGCUGUAGCUGCCACUGCUUCCUUCUCCAGAAUUUUAGAACUAUAUGUGAACAUAUAUGGAGAAAGCUGGGAUAUUCUGGGACUACCUAUUUACAGUGUUGAAGGUACAUUACAUCCUUAUUAGAAGUGGGGUGGAGCUAAAAAUAAAAUGUAAUAAUAGAUGUACAAGAAAGACAACCCAUGCACUGAAGAUGAUGUUAAAAAAAAUAAUAACUCCAUCCCUUUUCAUGUGAGCAUUCCUUAUAAUUUAUUUUUUCUACACAUUAAUAUACAAACAAAAUACAGUUUGUUAGAUUUCCUGCAUCAACUCAAUCUAUUACAAUACUGGUGCAAAACAUUAGUAAACAGCAUAAGGUGGACCAGUAACAAGAACACAAGACACACUUUGAGCAUAAAAUUCAAAACAAUUCACAUUUGAUAAGUCAACAAUGCCCCGUGACCAAGAAUUCUAUACUCCUAUCCAAUAAAAUAAAACCCCGACUGUGGUUUACUAACCAACACUUCCAUCAUGUACCCUAAACAUGCUUCUCAAAAGGUGUUAUGAUGCAAUACAAAUACAUUCAACAGACUUUUCCUGUUACCAUUUAAGAAUACAUAUUAUGUGUAGUGCAAUUAUAUAUUGUGAUUACAAGAAUGUGUUGUAUACUCUUUGUUCUUUUCAUGAUUACAGUUGAGAUUACUUAUAGGUAGAUAUACACAUGAAAGUUAUUUGUAAAUGAUAUUAGGAGCAAAAAUGAUGAAGUUUGUGAUGAGCGAACCAACUAUUUACUUGCAUAUCUUUCUUGAUCAGUUCAAAGCAAAUACUUUAGAAACAGUCAUAAAAGUGAUCUUGUGUCUAUGAUGUUGCAUUGCCCAAAUGUGUGAGAAACAAAGUGUCUGUUAGCUCCCUACAUUUUCCUCUGGUAUUUGGCAAGAACAUCUCAAAUGCUACCAUCAGAAGAUCACAUAGCAUUUUGCUCACCAGAUAAAUUGGCUUAUUGAAAU